ACACUGGGUACUGGUGCAUAGCAACUAAUUACAAGUCCUGGUUUCACAGCUCUUUCUUCAUCUUUCAAGAGUUGAUUGCUCAUCAACUCUAUGACAUUUUAAAAAGAAAUACCUUAAAUUCUAUGUUAAACUUCAUUAUAAAAUAUGUGGCAUAAAGAAGGAAUUUCCCUGACAUUUGAUGCUGUUAUGUUCUUAACUGAAGCUUGAAGAUUUAUCACCUUUAAUGGUGCAUGCAAAAUAGGGUCUCGCUAUGUUGCCCAGGCUGGUCUUGAACUCCUGGCCUCAAGCCAUCCUCCCACCUUGGCCUCCCAAUGCACAGAGUCUCUGUCAUCCAGGCUGGAGCGCAGUGGUGUGAUCAUGGCUCACUGCUGCAGCCUUGACCUCCCAGGCUCAAGUGAUCCUUCCAUCUCAGCCUCCUAAGUAUCUGGGACCACAGGUGCAUGCACGUGGCUAAUUUUUAAUUCAUUUUUUUUUUUUUUUGUAGAGACAGGGUCUCUCUAUAUUGCCCAGGCUGGUCUCAAAGUCCUGGGCUGAAGCAGCCCUCCCACUUUGGCUUCUCAAAGUGCUGGAAUUACAAGUGUUAACCACUGCACCUGGACUUGCCUAUUUAUCUUGUAAAGGCUUUUGAGAUCUUCCCAGUGUUAAAUACUUGACUUAGGCCCAUGGCAUCCAGGGGAAGUCUAAUAUCAUUUCUGAUCAGUUUCAAUUUUAAUAUUAUUAUAGGAAGUCACUGAUUGCCAUUAACUUAGCAAACUAACAAGGAACAUCAUAUCAUCUUGUUCCAACAUAGCCCUAAAAGCUUUAUCUCAUUUUUCUUACGUUAAAGCCAAACUAAAAUAAAAGAGUUAAGCAAAUAGUUAAAACAAGCCAUUCUUUAUAUUAUCCUGCUUUUAACAUUUUGCUAUCGUAGCUGUCCUUGGUUGGCUGUCCUUAAAACUGUGUUAUGAUUUCUUAUUAAUUCAGAUGGAUGUGUAGAAUUUGUUGAUAAUUGUCCAUAUGUCUUUUAUAUAUAUUUUAAUAUAUGAUAGCUAAGUGUACCCGUGUAAUACAGAAAUAAAUGAUUUUUAAAAAUUGUAGUACCAUGUAUGAAAAAACACAACUUUAAAUUACCCUGAUCUACUUUAUAUUAAAUUUUAUUCUGGAAGUAUUUUGGGAUCAUACAAGUAGAAUUCAGACUGCAAACCCAGGUAGGUGAAGUCUAGUUUGUGGUAACUAAUUCUCCAGGGAGUUUUUUUUUUCCUGCCUUUGUCCAGAGCUGUUUUCUUCUGGUUCCCAUCAGUACAUUAGAUUUGUUUCUCCUUGCAUGGAGGGUAUAGCCUGUUUGGGUUUCAAUGUUAUGUGGGAAUAUGAAAUUAGCACCCCUCUGCACUCCCAACCUUCUGGCGUGCACUCUGAGCAGCUGUAUGUGCCAAGUUUCAAGGUCUCUAGUCUCAGAAAAAUGUUUCCCAGGAACCUUGAUUUUCUAUUCUUGGCCUCUGGAGAAUCCUUCUUUCGACUGUAACCCAGCAAACCACUUAAACAGA